AACGAACGCUGGCGGCAGGCUUAACACAUGCAAGUCGAACGAGAUCUUCGGAUCUAGUGGCAGACGGGUGAGGAACACGUGGGAACAUCCCUUUCAGUUCGGAAUAACGUUGGGAAACUAACGCUAAUACCGGAUACGUCCUUCGGGAGAAAGAUUUAUCGCUGAAAGAUUGGCCCGCGUCUGAUUAGCUAGUUGGUGAGGUAAUGGCUCACCAAGGCUACGAUCAGUAGCUGAUCUGAGAGGAUGAUCAGCCACAUUGGGACUGAGACACGGCCCAAACUCCUACGGGAGGCAGCAGUGGGGAAUAUUGGACAAUGGGCGCAAGCCUGAUCCAGCCAUGCCGCGUGAGUGAUGACGGCCUUCGGGUCGUAAAGCUCUUUUGUCCGGGAAGAUAAUGACUGUACCGGAGGAAUAAGCCCCGGCAAACUUCGUGCCAGCAGCCGCCGUAA
rnacentral:rRNA from 1 species